ACCAUCCCCUCUUCUCCAGAACUGCACACAGCCCUUUUUCUCCUGUAUUCGCACUUCUCUUCUUCUCCUUGGCCCAUCGAUGGCCACGACAAUAUCCCCCACCCCAAACGCUAUUCUGGAAUGUGGCCUUACCCACUCCGAUCAAGAGGCGAGUCUGCUUCUCCACCCGCAAGCAGGGGGACUCGGUGACUCCUCCAACCAACAGACGCAGCAGGAGGAAGAGGCACUGCCCGAGGCAGCCCUUCCCUGGGGAGCAGCUCCCAGUUCCUAUGUCUUGGAAGCCAAUCUUGGAGACCACCAUGCUGUGAGAAGCCCAAGCUAUGUAGAGAGGGCCUAGAAGAUGCGACACCACAUAUGAGGACAGAAAAAGGCAAAGGGCCAAGAGGUGCCAAACACGCCAUGAAGAAGCCAUCUUGGAAGAAGAUCUGACGGUCCCAGCUACACUGACCGUGUCCCUGUCCUAACUUCAUCCUUCCUAGGCCUUUCUAGAAAACCUUGAGUAAGUCUCAGACAACUGAGGUAAACAGCCUGGUGGUGAAUGAAAGGGUUCAUAGAAUUCAAACUUAGAUGGUUCCCUAUGUUUUCUCUAUUUCCUUUAGAGAUCUGUGACUGUGUCCGCCCCAUACCCUGAUCUCCAGGCUGGUGCAGCGGAGUGCGGCCAGCUAGGCUGGUGUCUUUCUUCCCUUCCCAUCUCAUGGUGGACCUCCCACGACAGGGGAUAGAGAAGGGCUUCUCAGCUCGGGAGCUCGGGGCUGAGGAGUCACCUCACUGCUGAACUGGAGCUUCCAAAAACUUCCUCCAGUCCCCCAGGAGAGGAAGGAGAAGCCCCGUCUGCACCCAGGCCCGGCUUAGCGAAGCCUGGUGCGUACUGCUAAGCGCUCAGCUCCCUCAACCCGCCGCACUUCACGAGCCCCACACAAGCCUGCGUGCCAGGGGUAGUGCGACCCUGAGCUGCAGCAGAGCAGGACGGGGCUUCCCGGAAGUCACCCUACAUUUUCAGGGUACGGAAGAGUAAUCAAAGGACUUGUCAACAUGUACAUUUUGGAGCCCCACCCCCAAUGCCUUUUUUCUGGGGUGCACCCAGGAGCUGUGCUUUUAAACGGACCUCCCAGGGUUAUUGAUAAAGGUACUUGGUAAACCACACUUUGAGAUACACAGUUCUAAUGUUCUAAUGAAAUGUCAGUCAUGUCCUCUGCUUUCAAGGGGUUUACAGUCAAACCAAAUAUAUCUUAAAUGAUAUAAUCUAGUAUAUACCAAAUACCAAGAGAGAUAACAUGAAUGUCGAUAAAGGAAUUAAAGAAAAUGACAUGCAUCUGGACAGUGUGGGAUCUGUCUUGGGUUUAAUGAAGGUCAGAUUCUGGUGGCUUGGGGUCCUCAAAAUGCAGUGACGAGCCAACAGUGUCUGCAUUCCCUGGGCACUUGUUGGAAAUGCAGAUUCUAGGGCCCCACUCAGGAUUACUGACUGAGAACCCCUGGGGUGGGCUCAGCCAUUCGUCUUUUGACACCGUCUCCCAGCUCACAUUGGGCACCACUGAGUGGUAGAGAAAUGCCCCCAGGAAAUGUCCAGAGACCAGACUACACCGGUUGCCUGAAGGGGACAUUUGGUGAUGUAUGAAAAGUAAAGUGUGUCCUAAACAAACCAAACCAGCGGCUGUUUCUGCCAUGCUGAUGGGGGAUAUGUGUGUGUGAUAGGUGCCUGGAAAGCGCGUGUCUUCCCCCCAUCUGCCAUGCUUAUGGUCCCACCACCAUGCUAAAAAUACGAGUCUGCAUGGAACAGUCCUCUCUUAAUGGUUUCGGAUUUAAAACAUAGCCAUUGGAAUAAGUCAUGGCUGGUAUAUAAAGACCACCGUAAUACGGUGUUAGGUGGCGCAGUAUUUGUUUAGUUUACAUUUAGCAUUCCAUCUGUACCAGUGAAAUCAUAAAUUUGUUCAGAGACUGUGGUGGGAGUCGGGGAGUGUGUUCUUUGUAAGUGGUAAAAAGCCAACAGGUUUCAAAGCAGUAAUGGUUAAUGAACUUAUAUGUGCAUUCAAUAUGUUACGCUUACAGCAUGAUGUGUCAUGAAUAAACAGGAAUUGUGGUUAGUAAUAAAAAUAUGAAAUAUGUUCAUUAAAUUGCAGGAUAGAGGUACAUUAAUCACAAAAAGCUUUAUUUCAGAAAGCCAUUUGCACUGUUUGAACUACUAAUAAGUAAUUUGAGUCAAGAAUGUGGCUUACAACUUCUCUUAUUAUAAACCUAUGGGGUAAUAUCAUGUACUAUAAUUAAUCAGCUUGUAAGAACAAAAACAAGGAAGUACUGUAUCCCAGGGAAAAGUCUGUUUUAUUUUAAUGAGCUAGAGAAAUAUGCCUCUUUUAAAAACGUCCUUUUAUCAUUUGUAACAUGGACUAUUAGAUAAAGUCUGUGGUUCUUCACCUUGUAAUCUUGUAAUAAUGUUACAUACUAAGUGUUUCACUGCUGAAGAAUCAUUUAUAGCUACUAAAUGAGGAAGGAAGUUAGUGCAGCACUGUUGUAGUAAAUGUAGUCAAAGUAAGUCUUCUAGUCAAAGACUCACAAUCAUGUUUGGGAUUUUAUUGACAUGUAUGUUCAGUAAUCUGGAUAUUAGAGAAAAUAUCCAGCACAGAGUUCUGGGAAGAAGCUAAACAGUGUCCAACCAAUAAAGUUAAAAAGAACAGU
rnacentral:lncRNA from 10 species